CACAUGUUGUUAACAUGG
rnacentral:miRNA from 1 species